GACGAACGCUGGCGGCGUGCUUAACACAUGCAAGUCGAACGAACAGGCGCUGCUCUUGCGGGGUGCUCGAGUGCCGAACGGGGGAGUAACACGCGAGUAACAUGCCCUUGUCUUUGGGAUAACUUCUGGAGACUGGGGCUCAUACCGCAUAGGAUCUCCUGCUGCAUGUUGGUGGUUGGAAAGAUUCGGCGGUGUUGGAUGGACUCGCGGCUUAUCCGCUUGUUGGGGGGGUAGUGGCUUACCAAGGUUGUGACGGAUAGGCGACCUGGGAGGGGUACCGGCCACAAUGGGCCUGCGAGACGGACCAGACGCCUACGGGCGGCAGCAGGGGGGAAUAUUACACAAUGGCCGGACGCCUGAUGCAGCAACGCCGCGUGCGGGAUGACGGCCUUCGAGUUGUAAACCGCUUUCUACGGUGACGAAGCGUGAGUGACGGUAAUGGGUCAAAAAGCAACGGCUAACUACGUG
rnacentral:rRNA from 1 species